UCCGAGUUGACCCCGGCAGUCUCCUACGAGUCCCCGACUUCACUCGCUGGCAACUGGGAGCGGGGGUUGCGCUCGUUGCGGGACUUAACCCAACAUCUCACGACACGAGCUGACGACAGCCAUGCAGCACCUGUGUCGGCUCCCCUUGCGAGGUCGGGCCCCUUUCGGUUUCCUACCACCGACAUGUCAAACCCAGGUAAGGUUUUUCGCGUUGCGUCGAAUUGAACCACAUGCUCCACCGCUUGUGCGGGUCCCCGUCAAUUCCUUUGAGUUUUAAUCUUGCGACCGUACUCCCCAGGCGGAUGACUUCACGCGUUAGCUGCGUUACUAAAGGAUUUAACUCCUCCAACAACUAGUCAUCAUCGUUUAGGGCGUGGACUAC
rnacentral:misc_RNA from 1 species